UACGGAGGAUCCAAGCGUUAUCCGGAAUCAUUGGGUUUAAAGGGUCCGUAGGCGGCCCUGUAAGUCAGUGGUGAAAUCUCCCCGCUCAACGGGGAAACUGCCAUUGAUACUGCAGGGCUUGAAUUAUUGGGAAGUAACUAGAAUAUGUAGUGUAGCGGUGAAAUGCUUAGGGAUUACAUGGAAUACCGAUUGCGAAGGCAGGUUACUACCAAUGGAUUGACGCUGAUGGACGAAAGCGUGGGGAGCGAACAGG
rnacentral:rRNA from 1 species